GGUUUUGGUAGGUAGUGCACCACCUACAAAACAAGCCUCAUCACUUUCAACUACUAUAGUUUGGUAUUACCGCCCAUAGAACACCAUUGUAGUUACUAUCAUGUAGAGUUCGCACUUCAAAUUACCCGAAAUUGAGGGUUAUGUGGACCAUGGCACAAGCAAUGAAGAGACAUAUAAGGCCUCAUGCAAUUUGUAUUUAGCUUUCAACAUUGCCCCUGGUUAAAUAUAGACCAAAUACAACGGAGUUUAUUCUUUCAAAACAUGGGACCUUAAAGAGAAUGGCAAUAUUGAUAAGCUAAAUACGAAUGCCUCAAGAUCUUGAAAUCUCAUACUGAUUCUGGAUAGACCCUAAGAGUCUCAGACUAUAGGACAAAGCAUUUACAGAAGUUCAGCAUGGAGUCAAACUUUUAUCACAUGGGAGGGUAUUUCAAAUUUUUAGGUAUCUGUUCAGAUGAAGUCCACUUAUCAAUACACAACCACAUGCUCAUUUUUUGCAUAUCCAAUUACUCUUCAAAUGCUUACUGUUCAUUGAAAUACUUAUGAAUUCAUAUUAUCCAUUCCACAGCUCAGAAGUACAAAAAACAAGUCCAAAAAGAAAAUCUCGUUAUACACACCACAUUGUGCAGCUGAACGCU
rnacentral:misc_RNA from 1 species